rnacentral:rRNA from 1 species
GCCCUGCAUGAAGUCGGAAUUGCUAGUAAUCGCGGAUCAGCAUGCCGCGGUGAAUACGUUCCCGGGCCUUGUACACACCGCCCGUCACACCAUGGGAGCCGGUAAUACCCGAAGUCAGUAGUCCAACCACGUGAGGACGCUGCCGAAGGUAGGAUUGGCGACUGGGGUGAAGUCGUAACAAGGUAUC